rnacentral:rRNA from 1 species
UUGGAUUUCUGGCGGGAGCGGGUGGUCCGGCACUUUGUGUUGGUACUUUCCUGUCUCUUGCCAUCCUUGGGUCUAAGCUGUCUGGCAUUUAGUUGUCGGGCAGUGGCUGCCCAUCGUUUACUGUGAAAAAAUUAGAGUGUUCAAAGCAGGCUUAUGCCGUUGAAUAUAUUAGCAUGGAAUAAUAAGAUAGGACCUUGGUACUAUUUUGUUGGUUUGCGCACCGAGGUAAUGAUUAAGAGGGACAGUUGGGGGUAUUCGUAUUCAAUUGUCAGAGGUGAAAUUCUUGGAUUUCUGGAAGACGAACUACUGCGAAAGCAUUUACCAAGGAUGUUUUCAUUAAUCAAGAACGAAAGUUAGGGGAUCGAAGAUGAUUAGAUACCAUCGUAGUCUUAACCAUAAACUAUGCCGACUAGGGAUUUGUGGGUGUUAUUUGUGACCCCAUGAGCACCUUAUGAGAAAUCAAAGUCUUUGGGUUCCGGGGGGAGUAUGGUCGCAAGUCUGAAACU